rnacentral:lncRNA from 1 species
UUUAUCACACCCAGCAUGACACCAGUGCAGUAUAAUGAAGUGCAGUUCAGCUGUGCCAUCCAGGUACAGGAGGGAGAGCUUCGUGUCCUGUCGCAGGAGAGACAAUGUAAGGGGACAGUCAGAUGUAUUUAGAAAGCCUGUGUUCUGCCUAGCUCUCUGUGCCAAAGAUCUCUCACGGACCAGGACCUUGAGCACAGCCAAGAAAAGACUCCAAGCAUGAGAAGCUUGAAAAUACUUGAAGGCAGCAUCAGUACCUGGAGUUUUUCAAGAUCUCUCUUCUCAGAGAUUCUGUUCACAGAGCAACAAGAUGGCUGUCUUGUGCUAUAAGCUCACACGGAAGAAAGGAAUCAC